UUACUCCUGAGUCAAUAGGGCAUACAAAGUGGAUGCACUGGGCAAAAAGAUAAUUCACAUCCAGCGUAGCAUAAGAUUUCACCAUGAUAUUCAUAUCAAGUUUAAAAAAAAUAUGCAGCUUAAGACUUGGGAGUUGUUCAUUUCUGAAGUAGUCCACUCUAAUUCCAAACCAGACUGACCAGCAGAGCCUGAAACCCUGGGAAGUAAAUGGGGGCUGGUAAAGGGGUGGAGUAGCAUCCUCGGGAACAGCUCAGCUGGAAAAAUGAAAACAGAAUUUCUGUCUUUGGGGCUAGUAGUGUGGCUUAUUGGUGAAUCACUUGCCAUCCCUAGCAUUGCCUCCCAAAAACUCUUCAUAUGUCCCUACUUCAGAUGAUUGGUUUUAAUGUCACAGCUGGGUAAGGUCACUUCCACCAAGAAAGUCCAGAACAGAAGAAUUGCUCGUGGCUCUUCCUCUGCAGUAAAUGUCGUCACCCUUUGUGCCUCACAAGCUCCAGUCAGGGACUGCACAAAUGUCUUCCCGUCUGUAUGUCACAGAGUUCAGCACUUACCUUUUUCUCUGAAGAAAAAAAAAAGCAAUUUUUUAAUUAGGAACAUCCUCAUGAUUAUUUGGGUUCGCUUUGUUAAUAUUGACUGUCGUGUUAAUUCAUUAUAGCCACAAAUAAAAUGC
rnacentral:lncRNA from 1 species